UUGAAAGGGAAACGAUUGAAGUCAGUCGUACCAGCGGGAAAUCAACCUUUCGGGUGGGGUUUUGGAGUUUUGAAGAGUGUUAAAACCUUUGAGAUUUCAAAAUGCUUGCUCUUUUGGUGUACUUUCUCGUAGGUAGGUUAACAUCGAUUUUGAUCAUCAUAAAAGGAUUGGAGGAAUGUAGCUUCGAUCUCGUAUUGAAGUGUUAUAGCCUUUGGUAAAUGUGAUGAUUAGGAUCGAGGAUUGCAACGAAUACCCUUUUGGGCUAUCCGCCUGAUCUCUGAUACGUGGCCUUGGUAUUGAAAGCGUGCUUAUGAUAUUAAGGUAUUACGGUCAAAAGGUUAGAACGGAUUACAUUCGUUAAGGAUGUUGACGUA
rnacentral:rRNA from 1 species